GCAGAAUCCCCGACCACUUCCCCAUCAGGUAAAAUGGUGAAGAGGAGCAAUCGAGCGAUGGGAGCAAUGUCUAUCUCCACGGGGACUGACACAGAAAAAUGGCCAUUCACUGGAGCACAGAGAAAAUGAGGAGAUAAACCCUGCAGAGGCUCCUUGGGUUGGUGUUUAAAUUUCUGAAGUGCAUACAUGGAGGCAUCUUUGCUCUGCUUAAUUUGCUCGACGUUUUUGGGGCCACUUUACCUAUGCAGACAGAGAGGCUGGAACUAUAAAACCGCACUGAGGAGAUUAAAUACUCUCCAGAAGAACUACAUUCCAGAAACCUAUUUAUGAUGGGUUUCAAAAAGUUUUAGGCACAAGGAGAACACUGGGACCCAGCAUUUUUGGUGUCUAUUUUGGGCAGAAGCCUGGUGGCCGCUUGUGGAGUGAGAAGAAAACUGAGAACCAGAGCCAAUUUUGCUGAGUUCAUCUGAAGGGAAGGAGAAUCAUAAGAGAGAGAUCACCAGUUGGCAGAGAAAGAGGAAGGGAAGCAGGCUCCCUGCUGAGCAGAGAGCCUGAUGCGAGACUCGAUCCCAGGACCCUGAGAUCAUGACUUGAGCCAAAGGCAGCAGUUUAACCCACUGAGCCACUCAGGUGCCCAAGCUUCAUUCUUUUGCAUGUGGGUAUCCAGUUUUCCCAACAUCUUUUGUUGAAGAGACUGUCUUUUCCCUCUUGAGUGGUCUUGGCACUGUUGUCGAAGACUAUUUGCUCAUCCUUAUUUUGGGGCUCUCUAUUCUCUUUCAUUGAUCUCUGUAUCUAACUUUAUACCAGUAACACUCUGUUUUGAUUACUAUAGUUUUGUUAUAUUUUUGAAAUCAAGAAGUGUGUAUCCUCUAAAUUUACUCUUCUUUUCAAAUUUACUCUUCUUGUAUAUUUAGGGUCCCUUGAGAUUCCAUAUGAAUUUGUUAUGGAUUUUCUUUUGAAAGUGUAAUUUUACUAUACUGUACAUUUUACUUUACAUUUUUUCUCAUUAAAAUAUAUAUUGAAGAUAACUUUGUUUCGCAGAAUGGCUAUGCCAGCUUGCAUCCUCACCAACUCUUUUGAGGUUAUUUUUGUGUAUAGUGUAAGGAAAUGAUUCAGUUUCAUUCUUCUCAAUGUGGCUGUCCAGUUUCCCCAAAACUUGUUGAAGAGACUGUCUUUUUUUCCAUUGGACAUUCUUUCCUGCUUUGUCAAAGAUUAGUUGACUAUAGAAUUGAGGUCCGUUUCUGGGAUCUCUAUUCUGUUCCAUUGUUCUAUGUGUCUGUUUUUGGAACAUCUGUGUUUUUGAAGAAUAGUCUGAAAGGUUAAUUACUAGAAGUAGACAUAUUGGAUCAAAAGGUUAAUAGGAUAGAAGUUUCACAAGGGGAAGGAUUUUGUUCAUUGCUAUAUCCUCAGAGCCUAGAACAGAACAGUACCUGGUAUGUAUUAGGUGUUUAAUAAAUAUUCAUUUAAUGAUGAUAUAUAUACGAAAUUCCUAGAAUAUAGUUCUUGGGCUCAGUCUCAAAAAUUGAGAAGAUAUUUGCCAAGCAGAUCAUUGCAGACGCUGCUCAUUGGCUUAACUACUCAUGCAACAUCCUUCUCCCUAGCCAUCUUCAAGCUAUGGGUAUUCUGACCAAUGACUUAUAAGUGGAAAAGUGCUGAAGGGUGGGUUUAUGGAAAACUUUUGCUCUCUUAAUAAAAAGAAAAAAUUUCAGUAGUCACACAAUGAAUAUUUUAGCUCAUUCUUCCUGUAUGGAAAAUGGAUGUGAUGCUUGAGAAUUCAGUGACCAUUUUCAGAUGAAUCAGGAGGAGGGUGAAGGUCUGCAUGCUAAAUAAGAUAGCAAGGACCUUGGUCUGCCAGCGUCAUUGGGCAAUUGUAUCAACCAUGAGAUGUCAACCUCUGUACCUCUUUCUUAUUUGUUUAAACAGCUACUAGUUGCUUUUCUGUUAUUUAUUGCUAGAGGGAUUCCUAGCUCAAAUGAGACAGAUGCCAAAUAUAUUCUAAGUAGAUAGGUCAGUGUGAUGAAAAACAGGGGUUUUGAAACAACACGGGUGUUAGGUAAUCUGCAAGUACAGAAAGGAGUUUAGCUUGGCUGGGGCAUAGGGAUAAGACCAGAGAGAGAGAGAGUUAGAGCCUUUUGUGCCAUAGGGAAGAAUUUGGAUUUCAUUCUGUAGACAACUGUGUAGAAAUGAGUUAGACAUGGGAGAAGCAUGAUCAUCACUCUGGUAGGAAGGUGGUACACAUGUUGGAGCAGAGCUUGUAGGAGACAAGAAGACCAAUCAGGAGACUAUUUCAGUGUUGCAGUGAGAGAAAGGAAAGGCCUAAAGUAAGGUUGAUACGGUGGGCAGAGGGGGAAAAUAUGGAUUUGAAGUAUACUGAACAUGACUUAAUUACUAGUUUAAUAUCGACAGGCACAGUGGAGAAAGUUAUAUUACUGCAUUUUAUCACCUCUAAGAUAUCAUUGAUAUAAAGGACACCAGCAUCUAAGGCACUAUUUAAAGAAAAGAAUUUCAUCUAAUUGAAUUAGGAUACACCACUGAUUGUCAAACACAUUCUGGUUUCAGAGAUGUGAAAAGAUUUUUAUCUUAGAAUCACUGAAAGUUGGUAAUAGCUACUAUUUGUAAGUUCUUUGUGCCAGGCAUUGUGCUGAGAAUCUUGCUUUGAUUAUUUCACUUAAUAGCCUCAAAAGUUUGUGAAUUGUUUCUGAGUUAGAAAAACAAAAACUCCAACUUCUUUUUAUGAGCUGGGUAUAACAUUGAUACCAGACCUGGCAAAGAUAACAUAGAGACUAAUCUCAGUCAGGAACAUUGACAACACGUCUUAAAUGAAAAACUUGUAAACAUGAUCCAACAGCACAUCAAAGAACUGAUUUUUACAUCAUGGUCAAGUUGAUUUCAUUUCUGUAGGUGUAGGAAGAGAUUUAAAUCCACACUUUAUAAAGGCUCAGUAAAAGAGUAAUGAAUGGUUAAUUCUGUAAUUACAUGUAUGUGUUGUCUUUUCUUGAAAGCCAGGACCAUGCUUAAUAUGAAAACAUCGAAGUAUUUACAAUAGGGAAGACAGAAGACAAAAAGGCUAUUUCUACUAUUCUAAGUUCUAAGUUUGUUCUACACACUUCAGCAAAUAUAAAUAAAGUAAAAUAGAGGUAUUAAGUGUAAAAAGAAAAGAUGAAAUGAUGAUUAUCUGAAUAUGAGAUAAUUUAUACCUGGAAAAUAUAAGAGAACCAACUAAGAAAAUACAUUAAAGAGUAAGAGAAUCAGUAAGUUAGCUGGACAUAAAAUUAACAUGCAGCCAUAUUCAUCAUUAUAGACAACAUCUAUCAAAAAUAAAUCACAAAAAACCCCUAUAAGUGCACAAAUUGACUCAGCAGUUACAUUUCUAAGAAUUCAGUCUAUGGCUUUAUUAACACUUUUGCAAAAUGGUGUUUUAUGUUCAAGAUCAUUCAUUGCUGUAUUGUUUGUGGUAGUAAAAGACUGGAAACAGCCCAAGUUACAUCAGUAGGCAGCUGGUUAAUAAGAUAUGGGACACGCACACAAUAUAAUGCCAUGAAGCUAUGAAAAAAAUUUCCACUGAUAUUGAAAUACACUUAAGGUAUAUUAUGUGAAAAUAAAAAGUGAGUUUAUGUUACCUUUUAUGUUAACAAGGUGGAAACAAGAGUGAAUAAUCUUAUUUGUUUGGGUAUGGAGAGUUUAGAAAGUUACAUAAAACACUAAAAAAAGGACUGCCUAAAGCAGGGAGUGAGUGAGAAGCAGGUAAAUCUGGAGCAAAGGUGGGAAGCCAGCUUUUCACUUUAUAAAAGCUAUUUUUUUUUUUUUUUAGGAUUUAUUUAUUUAUUUGAGAGAGAGAGAGAGAGAGAGAGAGAGUAUGUGCAAGUUGGGGGGAAAGGAGGGAGGGAGAAAGAGAAUCUCAAGCAGGUUUCCUGCUGAGCACAGACAGAGCAGGGCUCUGUCCUACUGAGAUGCCUAAAUUAUAACCAUUACCGCUAUUUCUGCUUCUGUACCUUCGCUUGCUAUCCUAUGAGAAGGUGGAAAAAUACCAGCAGACUUUCUAUAGACACUCUGUAACCACACAUCCCCCGCCAAGGAUUGAACGUGAUAGAAUGGCUGCUCCCGGGGCCCCCCAUCCGGCUCUGGGCCAAGAGAUAACAGCCAUCUGACGCCAGAGAAAUCCCCACCCGGAAUUGGGCAUGACAGAAUGACAGCUCCUGGACCCCCCAUCCGGCUCUGGGCCAAGAGAUAACAACCAUCUGGCACCCUGCGGCUUGACAGAGAGACCCUGGCCAAUCCUGAGGUGACACAUACACUAGUGGCGCCAACUCAGCAGUUUGAAGAAUGACAGCCCUUUGACCUAACCAAUAAUCCGUUCCCAGCCUUUUCCUGCUCUGUAGCGCUCCAGUCAUAUUAUAGAGUUCCUUUUUGAUUUUCCCGCGGUAUGUGGCGAUUUGUUACAAGACACUAUGAUGUAUGCUAAGUCCCUGCCUCCCCAAAAAUAGUGUAUAAAAGGUGUUGUGAUCCCAAGCUCGGGACCUCUUAGCAUCACCGGCACGAGUGCGCGGAGGUCCGGGUUCGAACUCAUAAUAAAGGACCCCUGCUGUU